rnacentral:rRNA from 1 species
AUAACGGACGAUGUCGACUUGGAGGUUGUGCCCUUGAGGCGUGGCUUCCGGAGCUAACGCGUUAAGUCGACCGCCUGGGGAGUACGGCCGCAAGGUUAAAACUCAAAUGAAUUGACGGGGGCCCGCACAAGCGGUGGAGCAUGUGGUUUAAUUCGAUGCAACGCGAAGAACCUUACCUACUCUUGACAUCCAGAGAACUUAGCAGAGAUGCUUUGGUGCCUUCGGGAACUCUGAGACAGGUGCUGCAUGGCUGUCGUCAGCUCGUGUUGUGAAAUGUUGGGUUAAGUCCCGCAACGAGCGCAACCCUUAUCCUUUGUUGCCAGCGGUCCGGCCGGGAACUCAAAGGAGACUGCCAGUGAUAAACUGGAGGAAGGUGGGGAUGACGUCAAGUCAUCAUGGCCCUUACGAGUAGGGCUACACACGUGCUACAAUGGCAUAUACAAAGAGAAGCGACCUCGCGAGAGCAAGCGGACCUCAUAAAGUAUGUCGUAGUCCGGAUUGGAGUCUGCAACUCGACUCCAUGAAGUCGGAAUCGCUAGUAAUCGUAGAUCAGAAUGCUACGGUGAAUACGUUCCCGGGCCUUGUACACACCGCCCGUCACACCAUGGGAGUGGGUUGCAAAAGAAGUAGGUAGCUUAACCUUCGGGAGGGCGCUUACCACUUUGUGAUUCAUGACUGGGGUGAAGUCGUACAAGGGGUAACCAAAAGGGGUGGAGAAUGGGUAAAUGAGGUCGUAAAAAGGGUAGUGAGGGAAGGGGAGGGGGGGCAGGG